rnacentral:rRNA from 1 species
AUGCUUUCACAACUUGACUUCAAAAUAUUUGGUUUGGAGACUAUCAAAGAUCAAUAUGUGCAUGAUGCUGAUUUUAAAGAUGUAAUGCAGAAUUGUAAAGAAGGAAGAAUGUGGAACAAGUUUGUUGUUAACGAUGGAUUUGUGUUUCGUGCUAACAAGCUAUGCAUUCCAGCUAGCUCCGUUCGUCUUUUGUUGUUGCAGGAGGCGCAUGGAGGAGGAUUAAUGGGACACUUUGGCGUGAAGAAGACGGAGGACGUACUUGCUACACAUUUCUUUUGGCCAAAGAUGAGACGGGAUGUUGAGCGGGCUGUUUUGAAGAAUAAUAAGAAAAUGUGGGAGGAAUGCUUGCCUCAUAUUGAAUUUGCUUAUAAUCGUUCAUUGCAUUCUACUACUAAGAUGUGCCCUUUUGAAGUUGCGUAUGGUUUCCUACCUCGUGCACCUAUUGAUUUGUUGCCUCUUCCAUCUUCGGAGAAGGUUAAUUUUGAUGCUAAACAACGUGCUGAAUUGAUUUUAAAAAUGCAUGAGUUAACUAAGGAAAACAUUGUGCGCAUGAAUGCUAAAUAUAAACUUGCUGGAGAUAAGGGUAGAAAACAUGUUGUGUUUGCACCUGGAGAUCUUGUUUGGUUACAUUUGCGUAAGGAUAGAUUUCCUGAUUUGCGCAAAUCAAAGCUAAUGCCACGUGCUGAUGGUCCCUUUAAGGUGUUAGAGAAAAUAAAUGAUAAUGCAUAUAAACUUGAGCUGCCUGCAGAUUUUGGGGUUAGUCCCACUUUUAACAUUGCAGAUUUGAAGCCUUAUUUGGGUGAGGAAGAUGAACUUCCGUCGAGGACGACUUCAUUUCAAGAAGGGGAGGAUGAUGAGGACAUCAAUACAAUUGUUACACCCACAGCCCCUGCUGCUAUACAUACUGGACCAAUUACUAGAGCUCGUGCACGCCAACUAAAUUACCAGGAAACAAACCCUCGUGGUCAGGUUGAUCGUGCUCCGGCGUGGUCAAUAACCUCUCGGAGUUGGUUUAGCGAUUGCUAA